GAAAAAAUUGAAAACACGGACGAGAAAUUGAAAACGCGGACAAAAAAUUGAAAAAUGCGGUCAAUAAUUUUUCAUUUUCUUUGACCUUAUCGCCUUUUUUUCCUCCUCUUCAUCCCAAAUCCCGCACCGAGCUCCUCUCCCCGUACCCUAAAACGUCAUUUCCGCCGCUCCUCUCCCCGUGCCCUAACAUCGGGCCUCCGCCGCUCCUCUCCCCGUCCCUAACCUCGUGCUUCUGUCGCACCACCGCUCCUCCUUCACCCCCUGUUGCUCACACACCGCCACCCCUUUGCUAGUUCCGCAUCCCGUCUGUCGAGCUCGUCUCCUCCAUAUUUUCCCGUGAUCCCUUCCGUUCGUUGCAUCCUCGACACAUUGCGCGCGGUCCCCUUCCGUCCAUUGCCUCCUCCACAAAUUGGGCGUGCAGUCACUUCCAUUUAUUGGGAAUUUGAGUCCACAUUUUCAAGGUAGCUUCCUCAAACUACUCCCUACAUAAGUGGAGGUGCCUGAAAGCUUGGAAUCAUCUUCUCACUCGAGCAGUUCUUCUCUACAAAGAUAGCAAAAAGCUCGACGAACUUUGAAACACAUGUACAACAAAGAAACUAUGGCAUCGCGCAGAGCUAUUUUGUACUCCUGGUUUUGUACAUAGAAAAUAUAUGACAGUAUUAUCAGCAUGUUUACCUGUAAAUUUGUGGAUCCAAGUUCGUAAAUUUACUUUUGGAU